GAUCAUGGCUCAGGAUGAACGCUGGCGGCGCGCCUAACACAUGCAAGUCGAACGGCACCUAUCUUCGGAUAGAAGCGAGUGGCGAACGGCUGAGUAACACGUGGAGAACCUGCCCCCUCCCCCGGGAUAGCCGCCCGAAAGGACGGGUAAUACCGGAUACCCCGGGGUGCCGCAUGGCACCCCCGGCUAAAGCCCCGACGGGAGGGGAUGGCUCCGCGGCCCAUCAGGUAGACGGCGGGGUGACGGCCCACCGUGCCGACAACGGGGUAGCCGGGG
rnacentral:rRNA from 1 species